rnacentral:rRNA from 1 species
UACAGAGGGGGCUAGCGUUGUUCGGAAUGACUGGGCGUAAAGCGCGCGUAGGCGGACCUGCAAGCCAGAGGUGAAAGCCCGGGGCUCAACCCCGGAAUGGCCUUUGGGACUGCCGGUCUCGAGUUCGAGAGAGGUGGGUGGAAUUCCGAGUGUAGAGGUGAAAUUCGUAGAUAUUCGGAGGAACACCAGUGGCGAAGGCGGCCCACUGGCUCGACACUGACGCUGAGGCGCGAAAGCGUGGGGAGCAAACAGG